CCCAUGCCACCCAUUUCACACUCCAGAUCCUGUUAGGUAUCCAACUCUUCACCGUUCAUACAAAUAUCUACCUUAUAUAUACCUUUUUAGCUUCUCUUACACCUUUCGUAGUCUAUAUCUUAAGACAAAAAAUGAAGGUGAUUUUCGUUCCACUGUCGAUGAGGAAGAAUGAAGAUGAAGAAUUGGGAUCCAUUGCGGUGACCGACGAUGUAUAGGAGGAUCUAAAGCUCGCGAUCAAGGACCACAAGGCCAGAUUUCUGCUUCUUUUUUGCCUAUGCUUUUGUGGAUAUCAUGUAGAGAAUACAAAGACUGUGUUCUCUUCAUCAGAACUAACUAAUCAGUCGACAAAAAAAUAAACACUGAAAUGGAGUCGACCCUGAAGUACAGGAAUGUUAGAUUUUCGAAAUUUUGCCCCUACCAAAAAGAAAUUGAGAAAAUUUUGCUUAGGUGAUUACAGCCACUGGCAGUGACGAAGGCAGUUGCGGUCAAGGACAAGGUCUAGCUACCUUCUAUUUGGCCGCGAAAAGCCUCUGCACAAGGU